ensembl:lncRNA
GUGGGAGUUUGUGAAAACACACUUUUUAUUCCCCCUCAAAAGCCUUCAGGCCUCAGUUGGGCAUCAGAUAAUGGAAAAAACCAUCGGGCUGAGGAGAUGAGACGCACUGCUUACUCCACAAGGUCCGUGAUGAGAAGGCCUGGGCAGCCAGUAGAGAUUCUGUUGCCCCCAAGGGACACGUGGCAACGUUUGAAGACGUACUUUGUUGUCACAGUUGGUGGGGGCUGCUACUAGCAUCUAGCGGGUGGCGGCCACGGAUGCGCUCAACAUCCCACAAUGCACAAGACAGCCCCCCCACAAAGGAUGAUCCAGCCCCCAAAGCCAAAAGUGCUGAGAUGAGAGAUCCCUGGACUAGCGUCUCCUAGAACUUAGGAACCAAGGCUGGGCACUGUGAUGGCCUGGAGUGAUUUUCUAGAAGAUUGUGGAAGGCAGCAUCUUAGGGCAGAUUUGUUACUGCCCGCCAGGGCCACCUGGUUAAGAAGGGGCUCUGUCCUGGACCAGAGAGACAUGCCCUGCUUGUUCAGAGCUGUUCAGAUAUUCCGGGUCAAAACCAACUCAGACACAUCCUGAGACACGUCACUGUUGGGGAGAGGCAGCUUUUGACACCAGGUAGGGACGGGCAGUGGACCGAGGACAGGGCAGGUAUGAGAGAAAGAGCAGAGGCUGGUGUCAGCCCCCAAAGGCCAAAUUCAGGUUGGCGGGGACCAUCUGGGUCGAGUCCCUGGGGGCCGGGCCCCUCCCUCAGCCUCUCCAAUCUGCUUGCCUCCAUCCGAGCUCCCAGCCUUUAAUUCUCCGGUCAGACAGCACAUUUGGAUGUGGGGGACUUUACGAGGGUUGAGGGAAGACAGGGAGUACGGACAGGUCAUGUAGGAAGCCCAGAGGAAUAUUUUUUUCCCUUUGUCACCUGCAGGCAGUCUCAGAUUAACUUGCCAAUUCAGAAAGAAGGCUUUAAGGGUAAGGUGGGCACAGUGACAUCCUGCAGGUCAGGGGCAGUGGCGAUGGAAAUAUAUAAGCAAACAUGGUCGGUUUUCCUAAGGGCAUGAAUUAAAAGGCCAGCCUGGGGGCUGAUGCUGGAGGGGUGAAGGGCCCGGACAUCCAGCUUGCCCAUCCUGGCGGGAACCGUCUACCCCAUGAUCUAGGUCAGAGAUCUCACUUGUUUUGGACUCAGGGCAAAACCUGACCUUCUUUUGGAAGCCCAAAGCAGGUGGCUGCUGAGAGAGUGUUUGGCAAGAAAAUCCUGUGUUCUAGGGCCAAUGACUAUUGGCCUGGGGUCAGUUCUCUUUCUGUGCAGCUAGGCAUGGCUGGACCUUGGAAGGACUCACCCUGUUGACUCGGAGAGAAGUUGGCUAGCUUGUUAGUACUGCAAACUCAUCUUUCUCUUGAGCCUGUUUUUUUCUCACGAGACCCCUUUCUCAGCUUUGAGGCAAGACUCUAGAUUUUUUCUUGGUUCUCAUCCCCCACAACAGAUGGGUCUCCAGGUCCUGUUGACUCAACUCCUGGAAUCUCUUUAUCACUACAUCUGUCUCUCCCCUCCUUCAAGCCUUGGUUACUGCAAUAACCUACCCAUAGUUCAAUGGGCCAGCCAUCCACGCUCUAUGCCGCAGCCAGAACAUUCUUUUCCAAGCAUAACUCCAAUCACCUUAUUUUCCCCCUUUAAAAAACACUUAAGGAUUCCGCAUUGUCUACCAAAUAAAGUCAAAAUUCCCUGACACGCCCUCCAUCUCUACCCACCGUCUGGUCCCUGCCCAUCUUCCCAGUGUCUCUCUCCCCACCCCCACCAUCCUCAGCUUUCUAGAGCUGGGCUACAUCUGAAGCCAGCCCUGAUUUACCCUGCCCACCCCCCAGUCCAGGCCUUUCCUCUCACUGCUCCUGCUUCCUGGCAAUCUUGUCUCCCCAAGCCCACCGGUGGGAACCCACUCAUUUCUCAAACCCCAG